rnacentral:rRNA from 1 species
CAGCAGCCGCGGUAAAACGAAGGGGGCUAGCGUUGUUCGGAAUUACUGGGCGUAAAGGGCGCGUAGGCGGCCAUUCAAGUUAGAUGUGAAAGCCCUGGGCUCAACCUAGGAAUUGCAUUUGAUACUGUUUGGCUUGAGUUCGGGAGAGGUGAGUGGAAUUCCCAGUGUAGAGGUGAAAUUCGUAGAUAUUGGGAAGAACACCAGUGGCGAAGGCGGCUCACUGGACCGACACUGACGCUGAGGCGCGAAAGCGUGGGGAGCGAACAGGAUUAGAUACCCGCGUAGUCCCUGUCUCUUAUAC